rnacentral:rRNA from 1 species
AGAGUGAACGCUGGCGGUAGGCCUAACACAUGCAAGUCGAACGGCAGCACGGUAAGAGCUUGCUCUUAUGGGUGGCGAGUGGCGGACGGGUGAGGAAUACAUCGGAAUCUACCUUUUGGUGGGGGAUAACGUAGGGAAACUUACGCUAAUACCGCAUACGCCCUUCGGGGGAAAGCCGGGGACCAGCAAUGGCCUGGCGCUGAUAGAUGAGCCGAUGUCGGAUUAGCUAGUUGGUGAGGUAAUGGCUCACCAAGGCGACGAUCCGUAGCUGGUCUGAGAGGAUGAUCAGCCACACUGGAACUGAGACACGGUCCAGACUCCUACGGGAGCAGCAGGUGGGGAAUAGUUGGACAAGUGGCGCAAGCCUGAUCCAGCAAUGCCGCGUGUGUGGAAGUAAGGCCGUUUACGGGUUAGUUAAACGG